GGGGGUGACAUGGUUUCGACUUGAGUUGUUCCUGUAUAGGUGGCAUGCCGAGGAAGCCUGGUUGGCCUCGUAAAAAAAUCUGGGCAACAAAUAAAUGCAGAAAAUGACGCAUUAAUUGCGAGUGCUGAAAGCAUAGCUAACAGCGCUCCUCAAACAGUCGCAGUCUAAAUCAGAUUGUGCCCUUUUAUAAGAUAUGCCUGUAGUUUUAUAAAAGGAUCUUAACAGGCUAGUGUGGUCUUGGCCUGCAAGACCAUUGCGAAAUUAUAUGGCUGGUCAUAUUAAAUCUUGUUUAUCGGAGUUGAUAUGAUGAGAUCAAAUGAUAAACUAAGCAUGUAGAGGCUUAUACAAUACACUAUAAGGACCGGGGUUCGAUUCCCCGCACCUCCACCA
rnacentral:tmRNA from 1 species